rnacentral:lncRNA from 1 species
CACACUGGCCCGAGGAGGACCCAAGCCUCUCGAACCCAGCCCCGCUUGCCACUCUGCCUUCCUCUGCAUUGCAGCUGCUGCUCAGGGCGCGGAGCCGAUGACAUCUUGACAAACGAUGCAGCCCAGCAAAGCAAAUCACCAUUCCAACCAGACAGCCACAGGCUGCCCCAGGAGGGCCAAACACAUUUCCACAAAUUUGCCCAGGGAGUAGUCGAAAAUGAAAGGGAAAUGUUUUGGAUUGAUUCAGGAUGUCAAAGCAGCCAGGGCAGCUCAACAAAAGAGGACUUCCCAAACUGCUUUGGAGAGUGGAAAGAAUGAUUAGGGUUGGCAUCCUCCACUGGCCUCUUUGUAUGGCGCCCAGGAGCUCAGAGACCUGUUGUAAAGGCAUAAUCACAUCCAGGACCAAGACUGUAGACCCAGAGUCUGAGAACUGGUCUUCACACUCCCACUUCUACCUCUGCCUUAUAAGAUUGGGACAUUCACAUCUGGUAUUGGCCAUUUCAGUGUUCUCCAGUGACAAGGCCAAUCAGGGACCACAUGAUGUCUCCCUCGGUGUUCCUGUCUACUUUUGCUGACAAACAAACUCCUCUUUUCUCCCACUUGCCACGUGGGGUUGUCAGUGUUCCUUGAAAGAGUUCACAAUCUCUUGCCUCCAUCCAAGAAAAACAGUGCAGUUUGUUUAAGGUCAUGAAAAAAAAUCUUGCCCUUCCAAACUAUGGGGUUCUCUAGAGCCAUUCUUUUCCCUGGACAUUUAUUCAUUUAAAAACAUCAAGAUCGGAUUCUGGAACAUUCACCAUGCUGGGUGCUAGGCAGACUGAAAUGCAAAGACUGAUGUGAAGUUUGGACUGGACACUUAACAUGCCUGGUUCCACCAUUAGGAGCCACAACCAUGGUCCCCAAGAUGGGUAGAGAGCCACUGGCAUUGCUAGCUGUUCCUCCACACCAAAUCAGGCCUCCUGCUGGCAUGCGGCCAUGAUACACCAAGGGUGCACACACUCACUGUAUCUUCUCUACAGGGAAUUUUUGUCUUCAACAUCAGCUCCAUGCCCUCUUUUUACUUUAAGCAUUUUUAGUGUAUAUACAUACCAAAUGAGUAAAAUCUCUCUCUCUCUCUCUCUCUCUCUCUCUCUCUCUCUCUCUCUCUCCAUAUAUAUAUAUUAAAGUCUGUAGAGGUAAAGUGAUGUUACACCUGGAGAUGGCUUUAUCCCAUCCACUCCCACAUCUGAUUACGAGGUGAACAUAAGUGAAAGAAAAAUA